CCUACGGGAGGCAGCAGUAGGGAAUAUUGCUCAAUGGGGGAAACCCUGAAGCAGCAACGCCGCGUGGAGGAUGAAGGUUUUCGGAUUGUAAACUCCUUUUGUUAGAGAAGAUAAUGACGGUAUCUAACGAAUAAGCACCGGCUAACUCCGUGCCAGCAGCCGCGGUAAUACGGAGGGUGCCAGCGUUACUCGGAAUCACUGGGCGUAAAGAGCGCGUAGGCGGGAUAGCAAGUCAGAUGUGAAAUCCUAGGGCUUAACCAUAGAACUGCAUUUGAAACUGUUAUUCUAGAGUAUGGGAGAGGUAGGUGGAAUUCUUGGUGUAGGGGUAAAAUCCGUAGAGAUCAAGAGGAAUACUCAUUGCGAAGGCGACCUGCUAGAACAUAACUGACGCUGAUGCGCGAAAGCGUGGGGAGCAAACAGGAUUAGAUACCCUUGUAGUC
rnacentral:rRNA from 1 species